UUUAAAUUUAAACUCAAAAUUUUCAUAAAAAGAAAAUGAUAAUUUUUCGUAAAUAUAAAGUAAAUAAUAUUACAUAUUUCAGGUUGAUUGACGAAUACUCUACAGUUGAUUAGAGCCCAUGAUGAUGCGAAGAUAAUUAAUAUCACCUAACUUCAAGAAACCAGCGUAAAGAAGUUUACAUUCACAACUCAUCUAACCAUUAUAGAUCAGUAAUGUCGUCAUAAUUUAAAUGAACUCACAGAUAGCAAUGGGGCACUGCACCGAAGCAGUAUUACAAAAUAUGUGAAAUAAAACUGUAAUACAAAUUGCUCUAUAAAAUUUAAUAGAAAUAAAUUUAUUUAUGAAAAUUAAGUUAUGAAGUUUUAUUUUUCCUAGGAAAAAAAUAACAUUUAUAUUUUGAUCAAUUUAGAACAUUACAGUUAAAAAAAUAUGUGUUAGAAUAACAUAUUUUUAAUAAAAUUGCAGCUUUUAAUUUUUAUACUUUUUUGCUUUUAUAUCAAUAAGAACUAACGUAAGGAACAAUUCAUAUUUAUACUAUGAAAACACAUGCAUAUUUUUUGAUGUUUUUAAAACCAGUGAAUGAUGUUGAAAUAUACUACACCUAUUAUUCUUAUUAACUAACUUUAAUUACAAACUUACACAUUAUUGUCAUUGGAAAUAAAUUAAUUUGGAUAUUCUA
rnacentral:lncRNA from 1 species